UGUCUUUAUGGCAAAUGUGAGAUGCAGUGUAUGGAAUGUCAAAUUUCUAGUAUGAGAAAUUAACGAUUUAAGUCCUUCUUAAAUGAGGCCAUUUACCCAAAGAGGGUGCCAGGCCCGUAUAACGUUAAUGAUUACUAGAUGACAUUUCCAAAGAGUCGUGUUGCUUGAUAGUGCAGCACUAAGUGGGUGGUAAACUCCAUCUAAAACUAAAUAUAACCAUGAGACCGAUAGUAAACAAGUACCGUGAGGGAAAGUUGAAAAGAACUCUGAAUAGAGAGUUAAAUAGUACGUGAAACUGCUUAGAGGUUAAGCCCGAUGAACCUGAAUAUCCAUUAUGGAAAAUUCAUCAUUAUGAUUUUAAUAUUUAUAAUAUUAUAAUAAUGGUGUGCAUUUUUUCCAUAUAAGGACAUUGUAAUCUAUUAACAAACAGAUUUAUUAUAAGAUCAUUGCUUUAGUUUAUUCAAAUUAUUUUGCUUGCGAUUUAACAUAGAAUAAAUGCUUUUGAUUUGAUAAAGUGUUGAUAGAUUUAUUAUAUAUAGUGCUUGAAUAUAUUUAUAUAUUCUAUAAUAGCGUAUUGAUCAAUGAUUUUUAUGUUCAUUAUAUGCACUUAUAUGAUUAACAAUGCGAAAGAUUCAGGAUACCUUCGGGACCCGUCUUGAAACACGGACCAAGGAGUCUAACAUAUUUGCAAGUUAUUGGGAAUUAAAAACCUAAUAGCGAAAUUAACAUAACUUAUAUAAUGGGAUUAGUUUUUAGGUCUAUUUAUAGUCUACUAAUUCAAUCCCGGGGCGUUCUAUACAGUUAUGUAUAAUAGUAUUUAUAUUAUUUAUACCUCUAACUAGAGCGUACCUUGAGCAUAUAUGCUGUGACCCGAAAGAUGGUGAACUAUACUUGAUCAGGUUGAAGUCAGGGGAAACCCUGAUGGAAGACCGAAACAGUUCUGACGUGCAAAUCGAUUGUCAGAAUUGAGU
rnacentral:rRNA from 1 species